UUCAUUCAGCCGCCGUUUCCAUGACCUCACUCGUGUUUGGGGCUAGAUCCUGAGUUGCCACCAAUUGGCGUAACUCUCCUUUAGUUCAAUGGAGCUACACCAGUUUAUACCAACUCUGAAAAAUAUCACCCUUGGAGUCCAUAUAUUUAUAAUGCCAAAUUCACAGUUGGGAUUAGAGAUACAGCUCCAGUAAGGUCUCGUUGGGGGCCCAUACUAUACUCUGAAUCAGAUUCCAAGAUUCUGGCACGCUCCAUUCUGGCUGGCAAUGAAGAAAUAAGAUGUUGCCCAGGCUAUCUCUGCUGGGAAAGCUUUGUGGUGAAUGAGAAGCAUUCAUAUUUGGCAAAAGCAUUCAUAGGAUCUGGGUUGACAGAGAAGUGCCAGGUACAGGACUGAUGGAUACAACUUACUCUCUCAUCCUGCUGCAAAAGGGAACCCAGGGGCCUGCUUCUCUUUCUGAGUAAUAAUUUGGACCCUAGUUUGCAGUGUCCCUCACUCAGAACUAAAAGUAAGUCCAACUAAGAAACCUCAUAUUUGAAAAGGAAAAGUGGCAGAAAGAAAGAGAUGGGAAGUGUGUUUAGGUCCAGACUAGAGGAUUUAAGAAAUCAAAAGUACAAAUGGCUCAGAAUGAAGCAGCCUGAUUUCAUAAGCAUAGUUUUUAGACAAAUCAAUGUUGUUUAAUAUGUCCUGCUGAGGACUUCCACAUUAAAGCUGACUCCUUGUAUUGAUUGUCUUAUUCAGUUCUUUAAUAAAUGUUCCUUUUACACUAUUCAUGGAAAGGUGAGAGGUGCAUGGCAUUAAGGAAAUUAGAAAUAGGAUAAUGAACCCUUUACCCACAAUAUUAGUAGUCUAAAUGCAGCUGAUUGACAAAAGUGACCAACAUCAUCUCCUACUUAUGUUUUGAAUCCACAUGUUUUUUAUACAGUAGACACCAGACACAAGAAGGAGUUAAAUAUUGUCCUUUGAAUGAUAUGGUUUUUGUCUGAAAGUAGACUGGUUUUGAUUGUGCGUGGAAACACAGAUACAUCAUCAUGCCAAAUGGAUGGACAGGCUACAAGGACAUGCUUAGCCCAUCAGAAACGCUUAUUGGGGCAAGGGGUCGCCAAACGUCUCAAUAAAUAUCUAUCUUGAAUGAAAGGGGUUGCCUAAAAGUCAUAGUGCAGAACUGCUGGCUUUUCUAUAUUGUCAUUCUUUAUCUUGGUUAUUAUUUGUGAUUUAUCUAAUGCUAUAGGAGUUUUUCAUGCCAUACAGGGAAAUUAAAAGACAUGGUCCUUUGCCCCAAGUUGGUUAUAGUCUAUAUUAAAGAAGAAAGACCAGUUAUGAUAAAGGGAGCAGUUCAGACAAGUGUGUGUCACAGCAGAGAGGGCAAGCCUACAGUAACCAAAGAAAUGGCUUUAGAUACCUCCAAAUCAAAAUGGAGAAGUGUUGGUGAAAUAGCAAGGAGGACUGCCUUGGUGUGAGCCUUCUGCAAAUGAAUCCUAGUCUUUCAAUAUAAGAAGCAAUCAGUCUAUUGCAUGCUGUAACAUGUACCAGACCCAAAUUCCCACUCAUAAGCUGUGUCAUUUGUCAUUAUUGUUAUAAAUGGCCCUGCACUGCAUUCUCUCUUGAACAGGUGCGCAUAUAUAUAUAUAUAUAUAUAUAUAUUUAUAUGCAUACCACAGAAGUUAAACAAGUAUAUUCUCCAAACUCAGCUUUGGUGGCAUCGCUACAAAACAAUACCUUCUAUUUGAAAUGGCCUGGAAAUAAAUCCUGUUACACAUCCCACAUUACAAGUGAAAAAGUCAGCCCUAUUAUGUGCACAGGCUCAGUAUAAGUAGGACAGUGUUGAAACUAAGGGGAAAGGGUCAAAUCGUGAAAACACUGAAGGCCAAAUCCUUACAAAUAUGCAGAUACCGUUGCAGGCCCUGAAAGAGAGAAUCUCAAAUCCAAAAUCAAUUUGAGCUGUUCAUACAGAUUUGAUCUCUAAAACGCUACAGAGAGAUUUGGCCUUCUAUGGUAGAUCAGAGAAGACGACAGCAGUUGUGGAGAUGACUUGUCCUAGCUAUAAAAAGAGGAAACACUAUGUCAGUCCUUUUAAGACUUUUGUAGCCAGUUUUCAUGGAGACUGAUCAUCACAAUUUUUAGUUUUGCAUAUGCAUAAGAUCCUGCUAGGAAGGGGGACACUUAGAAUCUUAGCUGCAAUUAUUUGUUUCGGAAAUUAAGUUAUAUGCUACAGGACACAGGCACCCUGAGGACUUCAAGCUCUGACAGCUACUUUGGUUUCACUAAACCAAAGGAAUAAGUGAUUGAAGUGAAACUGAGAUAGAAGAUUGACUCACAUCCCUUCUCAACUGAUGGCAAUAAACAAGAUCUUGCAAGCAUAUUAUCAUCACCGGGUUUGAGACGCAAUUAUUUUCCUUGCCUGUGUAAGCGGAUGAGGGCUGGCCAGAAAACAUUUCUACUUUAUGAAAAUUUUCAAAAGUUGUUGUUAUUGUAGUGCACGACAAAACUAAAAACCUGCAGAAAGAUAUUUUUUUUCUGAAGGAUGAGAGAGAGAGAGACCAAUCUAUACAGCAUAGCCAGUAGUUGGAAGAUGGGGCACUGAUCUGGAAUAUGGGAGAUAAGUCUCUGCUUUGCUUGAGAAACUUUCCCAUUGAAAUCACUGUUUCCCCAAAUAUUUUAGUUUUGGCAAAAUGGCAUUUUUUGUUUAAAUGUUUUAACCAACUGAUCAGUACCUAUAAUCCACUCCUCAAUAUUUCCCCUUCCAGCCUCCUCCAGGCUAGGGACAGAAGUUAUACAUAA